UGUGUGUGUGUCUUCUUUCAGCGAGCUCAACUUGGAGCUGCUCGUCACAUCGUGUUGUCUCGCUUACACUACAGCAUCGAACCAUCGCUCCGUAUGUCCCCCCCCUCCUACGCGUACAAAACCACCAGUACAGCGCGACGCUUUGUCGGAGAUGGUUGUGCGUGUUUCGUUCUAAGUCCCGCGCGCAGUGUUUGUGCGUUGGUGCGCAUUUCGUCAAAGUCUCGUGCGCUGGUGAGUUUUGGUGAAGUGUGAAGUAAAAAAACAGUGUGUACAGACGCAUAUGCAGUGCGGGCAUCGACAGGUAAGGAUCCAUUUAUUCACAGAUAUGUGUUUGCUGGAUGGAGGUCGUACUUAGCAGGACGACGACAUGAUGUGUGUUUUUGUUAGGUUCUAAAUGUGUGACGAAAGUUUACAUUAAGUUUCAAUAAAGUGUUUAAUGUAACCAAAAAUGACCGUGUUUGUGUUUGCUUUUAGAAUAAGUGCGCAUUUGCGAUCGUGUCUAUUCAUUAAAGAAAACGAGAAACGAAAGAAACAACUAUCUUUACAUGUGUUCGUAGCAUGGCUCGAAAGAACACAAACACAUUGAGAACUGCAGAGCGCACCGUCCGUUACGGGUGGGGUGGGGGAGGGCUCGCGUGAGUGUGUAACUCAUUAGUCGAAGGGACACUGUAUUUCGACAGCGUCACUCAAAUCACUCAAAAAAUACACUCAUUUUGCCGGACGGGUCUCGCUACCCCUGGCCAUAGUUUAAAGGAAUCAUGCGACACACUCGCACUCCACUACCCCAUCCCAUGGAAAAACGCUCCCACCAUCGAGGUGUUGACCAACAUUUCGCUGUGUGCAUGAGACUCACACUCACACUCCUCCACCUCUCCAUAGCCAAUCGCUCCCACCGUUGCGAAGUUGCGAGAAUUUUUGCUCUGAGCGUGAGACCCUGAAGCGCAAGAGAUGACACUAUGUGUAAAGACGAUCAUAAUACGAUACGGUCAAAAUGCGUGGAUUAUCGUUUCAUUUAUCUGGUAAUGAUGAUUUCAGUUCAUCAAAAUUUUAAACGUUCACAACUUUGCUGAUAACAAUAUUUGAAAUGUAAAUCAGAAUAAAAUCAAUUCAUUUGAAGUAAAAUAAAUACCAUUAUACUCUAUUUUGUCCAUAUGAUCAACACUUGUACAUAGUGCCAUUUACUUUGUGUUCUUCACUCUCGCGCUGUGUGGUGAUCGUUCGAAACUCAAGGCCAGAACGAAUGCAAAUUUCAUAUGGGAAGGAUUGGUGCCGGUAGAUGCGAAAAUUAUUAAAUGUGAAUAGAAAAGUGGUUAAGUAAAUCGUGAAAGAUGUCAACGCAGGCGUAAAUGCAGUAUGUUUUGUUACAUGAUCUACGGCUAUUUCAUUACCAAAGCUCUUGAUAACAGAUCAAAGCAGAUGGAUCGGACAUACAGAGUCGCCGUUUAAUUUAAAAUAUCUGCGUGAUCGCAAACGCAUCAAACAGCAAGUGUUUUCCUUCCAACAGCACGUACCAUCGGUGGUGCAGCAGCUAACGUGUUGUUCGCCUAGCGCGCACCAUCAAGAAUUGAUAUUUUGCCAAACAGUACUGUGAAUAAAAAACUGCACACUUACUGUC